UUUUCAGUGCCUUUGCAUCACCCGAGCUCCACUGUCUAACCUAAAGAAGUAUGGAAACUUAAAAUUCAAGUUCAUUAAGGUAACGACGCCGCGCUACGUGACGGACGCGACCAACGGCACGACGACCGUCUGCCCGCCCUGCGUGUGCCCCAACUGCUGAGGAGUCAUGCCCAAUUUAUAAUAAAUUCUAUAAUUGA